GCCUGGGUGGCUCAGUCGGCUGAGCGUCCGACUUCGGCUCAGGUCAUGAUCUCGCGGCGUGUGAGUUCGAGCCCCACAUCGGGCU
rnacentral:tRNA from 1 species